GAUGAAGAACGCAGUGAAAUGCGAUAAGUAAUGUGAAUUGCAGAAUUCAGUGAAUCAUCGAAUCUUUGAACGCACCUUGCACCCUUUGGCAUUCCGAAGGGUAUGCUCGUUUGAGUGUCAUUGUACUCUCACACUCUCCGAUCCUAUGGAUUCGGGGAGCGGUGGACUUGGGUGUUGCUGCCUUUCCCUGUGGCUCACCUCAAAUGCGUCAGUGCACCUCUUGGUUGGACAUAGUACGGCGUGAUAAGUGUCUUCGCCGGCACCUCGCAAGAGGGUGGCCGAUCGGGAGCUCUGCGCUUUCAAACCGUCUUCGGACAAUUUCUGACAUCUUGACCUCAAAUCGAGUAGGACUACCCGCUGAACUUAAGCAUAUCAAUAGCGGAGGA
rnacentral:misc_RNA from 1 species